AGGGUUUAAUCUGGUCCGGGAUAGUCACCAUUAACAAAUGUCCUAGAUCCCCGUUUCUUUUUAUAUAUAAGGGUCCACCAUUUUCUUCCCUACAUCCUUUUGGUUGCUAUUCAGUCUAUCCCUCCUUCUCCUUUUUCCGGGGCGUGCCUCCGUGCCAUGGAGGGUUCCCAUGCUGGUUUUUCGUUGACGGGUUCUUCUCUCUUUGACCUUUUUAUUAUCUCCAGUGACUCUGCUGUGGUAGGCUGGGUAUUCUUUCUUGCCGGCUUUACACACUCCACUUUUGCCCAUUCUAUACAUAGAUUCUUGCCAUACGCUUCGCAUGCCAAGGCCGUGGUUGUUUUUGCUUUCAGGAUGUCAGUUUUGUGCUCCUCCAUUCAUGUUCCUAUUGACCUUGACGUGACCCCUAUAUACGCCAAGUCUUGACCCGUGUCCAUAUGCUUCAUGGGUAUUCUAUAUAU
rnacentral:lncRNA from 1 species